UACGAAGGGGGCUAGCGUUGUCCGGAAUCACUGGGCGUAAAGGGCGCGUAGGCGGCUUGAUAAGGUUGCGGUGAAAGCCCGGGGCUCAACCCCGGGUCGGCCGUGGCAACUGUCGAGCUGGAGCACUGUAGAGGCAGGUGGAAUUCCGGGUGUAGCGGUGGAAUGCGUAGAGAUCCGGAAGAACACCGGUGGCGAAGGCGGCCUGCUGGGCAGUGGCUGACGCUGAGGCGCGACAGCGUGGGGAGCAAACAGG
rnacentral:rRNA from 1 species